UGGGUUAGAAUGUGGUUAACUACCUUUUAACUAUAGGGUGAAUUUGUUUUCUUGGUUUAUCAGUUUUUCGAAGGAUUUGACACUGGUUGCACAGUGAUAAGAAAGGGUAUUGAGGAUUAUUGAACUUAUUUACGGGAAGAGUAAACAAUUUGGGCAAAGUAUGUAUGGUUUGUACCUAUAGCCACUUGAACACGGGGAGAAAUACACUUAUUCAGAAUUCGACGAAUACAAAGUUAUUAAGUAAAACUAACACCAGUUGGAGGGACAGUACGUGAUACACCCACGAAUGAAUAAGUGGAGGCGUCACUCGGCCAAGAGGCCAUUUCCCCACUGUUUCCGGCGAUAUUUACCUGGGCCUUGGAGUAACGCAGGAUGCCGCCCUUCAGGUAGGAGUUGACCGGGUGCUUCUUGCCCUUUUUGGCCGACUUGGCCACCUUUUUAGCUUUCUCGACGGGUGCCAUUGUAAAACACGUGUACACAGCACAAAAAUUAUUGGAAAA